UACGUAGGGACCAAGCGUUGUUCGGAUUUACUGGGCGUAAAGGGCGCGUAGGCGGCGUGUUAAGUCACUUGUGAAAUCUCUAAGCUUAACUUAGAACGGUCAAGUGAUACUGAUGUGCUAGAGUGCAGAAGGGGCAACCGGAAUUCUUGGUGUAGCGGUGAAAUGCGUAGAUAUCAAGAGGAACACCUGAGGUGAAGACGGGUUGCUGGGCUGACACGUGACGCUGGAGGCGCGAAAGCUAGGGUAGCAAACGGG
rnacentral:rRNA from 1 species